rnacentral:SRP_RNA from 1 species
AAUCCAGAAAUGCGGCAGGAUGGUUAAAAACUCCGCCAGGUCCGAAAGGAAGCAACGGUAUUAAUUCUGAUUGUGCGCGUUCUCCUGGAUUACC